AUGAGUUUACAUAACAAGUGCAUUCUUUUAAUCUUCCUCAUAACAAACUCAGUUCUUCAAACCGUGCAAGCUGGGAAACUGUUUGGAUCAGACAGUGAAUUCAACUUAUCGGAAUAUCGAGAGGAACUUGAAGAAGCUCAUCCCUAUUUCUUCAAUGCUGCGCCUGGUCCACCUCCUUCUGAGGUUCCAUCUCCAGCCGCUGAUGAGACCGAGACCCUGCCCAAUUUUGAUUAUGCAUUUCGGGAAUGCCUCCAGCCGGCAUGCGAUUACUUCGGGAUUUUACACUUGGGAAACAAAAUGAAGAUACCUUUAAAAGAACCCGUCUCCUUUGACGUCGAUACAGGAGAAGUCAAAUGCAAAUUUUCAUCACGAGCCCUUAAAUGCAUAAGGCACCACCGAGCUAACGUGACAUUGUUCAAAAUUCUCUACGAUAAAAAACCCAAUAUGGCGAGGCUUUACUUAAAACGGAAGAAAUUGCCUUUAGAUGGCCCGAUAUUUGACCAAAGCCCCGCGGGAAGUUUCAAAAAAAGUUCCAAACCAGAUGAAAGUUCCACGCAGCGCAGUGAGUCUUCGACAAGUGCCACAAAUCGUUUGCUGAGCAAGUUAUCAAAAUCACCCACGUUCAUACGCGGAACGUGCAGUCAAAUGGUGAGGAGGUUAAAUCAAUCAACGACGUUCAAUUAUCUAACAAGAGGGUUGUCUAAAUCAAGUAUUACUGGUGCAUAUAAUGGCGUGGUGAGGGGCUUAUCCAACGCUGGUGCCGUUACCCAAGUCUCGAACAUUUUGAAAUCUGGUGGAUCGGCGAUAAAGAGAUGGAAACCAAAGGCAGGGACGCUCAAAAAGACCAAUAGCCAGAACGAGACACCCUGAUGUUGAACUGAUCAUAUCGAUGGCCAAAAGGCGGGAAAAAAGAAGAAGAAAAAAAAUCUUACAUAGGCUUCAAUUAGUAUGUAAAGCAGGCCUUCGGGUUAUACUCUGUUAAGUAUAAUUCCUCCUUGUAUUAAUUACAAUAAAUAUAACUUUGUUCAAAAAAAAAGUGCGAAAUCACGUAUCUCCUUUUGUGACGUUGUAGACUUCCUGUUAUGCUUUAAUUUUCUUAAAAACUUCCUUGAAUUUCCGUCUCUGCCAGCAAAAGAUUCUGUAUAAAUGGCGAGGUAAAAUGUUGGCUUCCCAAGUAGCAGAACAAAUUUUUGUUUUUCUAAAAAAAGUAUAAAAAAAAUAUAUCUGUCAUCUAAAUGAUCGAUUUAUAUAAAAAAAACGUGUAACGUUUAUACAAGAAAAAUCAAAGUUCAGACCUGACCGUAAUAUAUGAAAAAUGAUAAAAGCUAGAUAAGGUAAUUUAUUUGUAUACACAAAUUUUUUAUUUUUUUAUAUAACGCAUGCAUACGAAAGUGUUAAAAGUGAACAUUUUUAUGUAACUUUUAUAUAAAAAAUAGGUCAUCAUUUUCGUGUGCUUUUCGCAAAUUAGAAGAAUUUUUAGUACCUAUGUUUGCGAAAAGCUCACGAAAAUUAUGACAAUUUUUUAUAUAAUGGUUACAUAAAAAUGUUCACUUUUAACACUUUUGUAUGCAUGCAUUAUAUAGAAAAAAUUAACUUUCGUACAUAUUAUUUAUCUUUUCCUUCUAUGGUUCUGCUACUAGGGUUGCUUCUCUUCGGAAAAAUAAAGUAGAAGUGGAAAUAUUGAAACAUCACAAUGGCGAUACGUGGUUCCGCACUCCAACUAUAUCGAUUUAUUAAUCUUCCAGCGACGCGGUGUCACUAUUUUACUCCGAUUACUGUGAUCAUGAUAUUCCACGGAGAAGAAAAUGCUCGGCAGAAAAGGAUCCUUUUAAAUCAACGGGAAUCUCGUAAUAAAAGUUCUGAAAUCCUGAUAAUUUCGUUUGAUUUGAUCCCAUUCUGUCUUCAUUGGUCGUCAGAAUUUGUUCUUGUUUUUUCAAUCGAUUCGGCUUCUAUUCCUCUAUUGAAAAUCUAUCAAAACAUCAAUAAUAAAGAAA
rnacentral:lncRNA from 1 species